GACGAACGCUGGCGGCGUGCUUAACACAUGCAAGUCGAACGGAAAGGCCCUGCUUUUGUGGGGUGCUCGAGUGGCGAACGGGUGAGUAACACGUGAGUAACCUGCCCUUGACUUUGGGAUAACUUCAGGAAACUGGGGCUAAUACCGGAUAGGAGCUCCUGCUGCAUGGUGGGGGUUGGAAAGUUUCGGCGGUUGGGGAUGGACUCGCGGCUUAUCAGCUUGUUGGUGGGGUGGUGGCUUACCAAGGCUUUGACGGGUAGCCGGCCUGAGAGGGUGACCGGCCACAUUGGGACUGAGAUACGGCCCAGACUCCUACGGGAGGCAGCAGUGGGGAAUAUUGCACAAUGGGCGGAAGCCUGAUGCAGCAACGCCGCGUGCGGGAUGACGGCCUUCGGGUUGUAAACCGCUUUCGCCUGUGGCGAAGCGUGAGUGACGGUAAUGGGUAAAGAAGCACCGGCUAACUACGUG
rnacentral:rRNA from 1 species